CCCUUAGAUGUUCUGGGCCGCACGCGCGCUACACUGACUGGUGCAACAAGUGUCUGACCUUGGCUCGAGAGGCCUGGGCAACCUUUGAACGCCAGUCGUGCUGGGGAUAGAUUCUUGCAAUUAUUAAUCUUCAACGAGGAAUUCCUAGUAAACGCAAGUCAUCAGCUUGCAUUGAUUACGUCCCUGCCCUUUGUACACACCGCCCGUCGCUCCUACCGAUGGGGUGAUCCGGUGAAUGAUUCGGACUUCCGCAGUGCUAGCUACUAGCUUUGUGGAAGAAAGUCUUGUGAACCUUAUCACUUGGAGGAAGGAGAAGUCGUAACA
rnacentral:rRNA from 1 species